rnacentral:lncRNA from 13 species
AGCGCUUUGGCCGCAGCAAAUAUAUGAUGCAAUGUGAAGGGGAAAAACCUUUUAUGUAACAAAAUUUCCUCUGCAUUGCCUCCUAUGAACAAUAUUUACACAUGUGAAUAAUCGUUAUUUCAAAGUUUAGGACUAAACAGCACCUGAUGUGAUGAACGAGGAAAGCCCACGAAUCUCUGUGCCACGCAGCUGUCCCCGUGAUAAAAGGAUCCAUAUUCCUUUCAGAGCAGCUAAUUCCAUUUUGAGGAGCAGAAAAGAACACAAAGGCUCUUGGAAUAUCUUACUAUCGCAAAGAUAUCAAGACAUAGAACGUUUUGAGUUGUCUGAAUAGUUCUGGAGAAAGAAAAACGUCCCUGAAGAACAAAUGAUAUCCUUGUG